rnacentral:sRNA from 1 species
CAAUAUUCGGACUUUAUCCAGUUCCAACACACAGCCAGUCUACUUGCCAGCCUCAACAUUUCUCCAUCAAAUCUAUCUCAGGCAUAACAUACUAAUCACCCCCACAACUUCAAGGCUAGCAAUUCCCAGUGCUUGCCAGGCUAUGGCCCAAAAUAGCUGAAUUGUUGCUUCAUAAUCUCUAGAUUGUACUCAACGCCAUACCGAACUGUUCUGCAACUCAAAUGAUGCCGGUCCUCAUGGUGGAUUCCUGGCGUGUGCAAGGUAGUUUGUUCCGCACCUUUGUACGGAGCAUGUGUUUCAAAUGACCAUAUUCCAAUCCCUAUAUUUCAGAGAGCGUUCUAUGACCACUCAGCGUUUCGUCACAUCGGCGAUGACAGGGUGGGCACUGUUUAUUUGAAUUGUCAGGCAGUGAAGAUCCUGCGUGCACAUGUUCUGAUAGCUUCGAGACUACCCACAAACAUUUUUUCUAGAGCUACAUACAAGUUUUCUGAAAUUAAACUGAAGUAAAAUGUUGUUGGCAAUUGAUUUACAGAAUUUCAAGUUCUAUUGAAAGUAACAUGAGCAGU